GACUCAUCUCUUGGUAGAACAACUAUCAACAGACGCAUCCUUUCUUUUUGUGGCAUUUUUUCUAAAAAGAUGCAUACCUUCAUUAAAAGUGCUGCAUGAAGGAAUGUUUCUAAAGCAUCAUGUCUCCUAGCUUUACACCCUUUUGAAACAUAAGUAAGAGGGAAGAUUAUGAAAAUUCCCUUAAUAUUCAUUCCUCCUUUUCUAGAGUGUUACUUUAAAUCACUCCUGUAUUGAGGUUCUGACUAGUUCGGAUUUAUCUUUGAAUCGUGCAACUUAGGACGAUCAUGAAGCGAUUUGUUCUAUCUUGAGAGUAGACUGCUAUCAUCUAUAUGUACCAAGGGAAGGCUAAUUCGAUCCCAAAGGGGGCAUGCCUUGAACCUGCGAGCUGGGUAUGUGUGGGUUCCACAAGCCAGCAUCAUGACAUGAAGUAUGAACCCUGAAAUUCAAGCAGCAAUUUCACUGACCUCCAAUUUGAAUUACAAGGGAGAUGUUUGGAUGACUGGAACAAGUAUGCCCAACCAACUGCAAUUCAGCACCAGAUUGUAGCACCAUCUUGCUAUAGCAAAUGCACUUUAACUAGGAAAAUGGAAUUUUUCUGACCAUAUAUUUAUGAACCUUCUACUUCCCUUCUAUUCCCUUUUAAUCAAAUUAGCUAGCUUGUAAUGACUGAAAAAUGUUUAUACCAUUAAUGCGAGCACAAAUAAAUUUACCAAGUUGUGUUUAAGCAAAA